rnacentral:rRNA from 1 species
AUACGUAGGGUGCAAGCGUUGUCCGGAUUUACUGGGCGUAAAGAGCUCGUAGGUGGUGUGUCGCGUCGUCUGUGAAAUUCCGGGGCUUAACUCCGGGCGUGCAGGCGAUACGGGCACGACUAGAGUGCUGUAGGGGUAACUGGAAUUCCUGGUGUAGCGGUGAAAUGCGCAGAUAUCAGGAGGAACACCGAUGGCGAAGGCAGGUUACUGGGCAGUUACUGACGCUGAGGAGCGAAAGCAUGGGGAGCGAACAGGAUUAGAUACCCUGGUAGUCCAUGCUGUAAACGGUGGGCGCUAGGUGUGGGCUGUGUGUUUGCAGUCUGUGCCGUAGCUAACGCAUUAAGCGCCCCGCCUGGGGAGUACGGCCGCAAGGCUAAA